AGAGCUGGUCUGAGCCGGCCACGUCAAGACAAACUCCUGGGCACUUCCCCGCCCAGGGCCGGGAGUUGUCUUGGUAGCUGCCUAGUCUACUUUGUAGCAGCUCUGCUGAGCGCUCCCCUGGCACGCUUUUCCCUCACUGGUCUACCAGUCUCUGAGCAGAACACACUUCUGAUCUUUGCAGCUGCUAGUCUGGAAGAAGCUGCUCUGAAGGAGUGAUGUUUAGGCUGAGACCCGAAUGAGAAGGAGGAGCCCACCAGGCAGAGCCGUUGGGAAGGAGCUGCAGGCACAGGAACAGCCCGUGUGUGAGCAGAAGCGGGCACGGUGGCGUGUGACUCAGCGCAUGCAGGGACAAGCGAUCUGAGCACAGCGGAAGCCAUGGCAGAGGCUGGGCAAGGGAGCAACACACAGGAUGGUCAGAGGUGGCAGGAGGGUGCAGAGAGAGGUCCAGCAGGUCUUGCUCGCGGACGGAAUCCAGUUGCGUCUGGAGUUGUUUCUACAGGCAGCAAAGCCCCGGCUGGUAAGGUAAGAGUAGAGCCCUCUCAUCAGGGCUGAGUUCUCAGCACUUAAGCCACUUUCCCACCUCUCUGUGGGGGGAUGAGCGGGGUGUGGGCAAGAGGACCCAGAAGCCCGGCUUGCCCGGCCGCAGGCUGGCUGGCUCUCGAACCGCAACCCCCACGAGAGCAGGAAUUCUUCCCCCGGCAGCCAAAACUGACUUCUGAAAAGCAACUGGGGUCCUCAGAGAACCUCCCAAGGGCUGAUAUCUGCACGGGAACGGCUCUGUGCUUAUGCCCCAGUCGUUCAUUCCCCAGGGACAUUUUUACAUGUGUGCCACGGGAGUGGGAGCGUCAGGAAGACAAGGGGACCUCGUCCUGGAGAGUGACCUUGGGGAGUUCAAGGGCACUGCCCUGGCCUGGCACAUCCUGCGUGGGGAGCAGAGGGUGCACCUGUCUGCUCCUGCCAUCAUCCACAGCAGUACCCCCUCCUUCUCCCCACACUGAAUGGCACGGAAUCCACCUCCACCCGCCCUGCCCCUCCUGCAAAGUGCUCUGUGUGGGAGGUGGUAUCAGUCCCGAUGUUUUCAGCUGCGUGUAACAGAGCACCCGACGCGGACAGGCAGUUCCAGGGUCAGUUAACUCUGCGGCUGGAGGAUUCCAAUCUCUGUGACACUCUUGCAUCUCCCCUGGUGCUUGACAGGGAACCACAGCACAUCGGAAGGAGCUUUUCAUGCCUCCAAUGGAGGCAGCGACGCCUGACCGUGUCCCUGCUACGGGGAUGCUCGUCCCAACCCGGGUGCUGCUGGCAUUCGGGCCUGGCCAGUUCUGCAUUGUGGGGCUGUCCUGUGCACUGUAGGGUGUGGAGCAGCAUCCUUGGCUUCUACCCACGCCCUCUCCCCCCAGGACAAUCAGAAAUGUCUCCAGACACAGCCAGAUGCUACCAAGGCACACAGUGCCUGACCUAUGAGCCGCUGGCCUACCUUCCGCAGUGGACCCUCCCUCAUGAGCACCCCCAGCGGCUUUCCUCUCACCCCCCUGGAGGGGAUUGGUUGACAUGCAAUCCUGGUCAGCAUGCAGCUUUUGAAAAGCUCCUUCUGCAACUUCCUGGUUUUAUAUUCUUGGCAUAUCGACAUCAUGAAAAUCCAUUUCCUUAUCAAUGUACCUGGGGAUGAUCCCUAAGGGGCACUGGGCCCACAACCCCCUGAAGGAUGCCUGUGGGCUGCACAGCUGUGUCUGUGGCCACCCACCCUCCCCAGCCACCACAACUGGGGUCGGCUACGUAAUCCGUGGGGCCAGGUGUGAAAUGAACAUCCAGGCGCUUUGUUAAAAAAUUGUUGAGAAUUUCAAGGUGAUGACAGCAAAUCAUUAGAGGGCGCUCCAUCCGACAGUCACUGGGCUCAGUUCCUUGCGUCAUCUCCUUCCAUCUUCAAAGCAAACACGGCCCCCUUUAAAGGAUAAAAAAAAGCCCACGCUGACAAGGUUGAUCUCUUGAACAUGAUGGCCAGACCAGUAAGACGUGGACCAGGAUCCUGAAAAAGGAAUUUAGCCCACACCAUCCUACCAUAAUCUUCAGGAGCCAUCCUUUUCCAAGUAACUCAAACACACGAACAAGAGUGAAGUGUCUGCUAUGUAAUAAGGAAGCUCAUCUUCCAGACAAGCCCCCAGCCCUGCCACCACACAGAAGGCUGAACCUAAGCUCCUCCCGCAGAGGGUUGCUGGAGCAGUCGCUGCCCUAGAUUUAACACAAGGUCUGUCUAAAAUCAGCUUAGUGAUUGCUGGGGUGGGAGGGAUGGGGAGUGACUGCUUAAUAGCUACAAGAUCUCCUUUGAGAUGAAAAUGUUUGGGAACUAAAUAGAAGUGAUGGUUGUACGACAUUGUGAAUGAACCAAAUGCCACUUAAAAGGGGUUCACUCUAUGCUAUGUGAAUUUUACUUCAAUAAACAAACAAAAACAAAGUCUUUC